rnacentral:misc_RNA from 1 species
UUACUGCAAUGCAUGUUUUCUUUAUUAUAUUUUUAAUAUUUCUUAUUUUCAAAUAUUUUGUGCCAUUGCUACAUUUUAAAUUUUUUGAUUGUAAAAAUUUUUGUUAACAAAGUAUAUUUUACAGGGACAUAGAUAUACAGCAGAACAGAAGGCCCUUGCAUUAUUACUGUACAAAACGAUGGGAAAGCGUGCAUAUACGUGUUUGCGUAAUGUAUUCGAAGACAUACCUUCAAUAAAGACUGUACAAACGGCACUCCACAAAAUACCAAUGUCCCCUGGAUUGAAUACUUUUAUCCUGAGACACUUGGAGAAAAUAGCUCCAAACAUGUCUUCGAAGGAGAAAGUAUGCAUUCUAAUGUGGGACAAAAUAUCAAUACAACCCAAGCUCACUUAUAAUAUCCGUAAGGAUGUUAUAUAUGGUCUUGAGGAUUGGGGUAAUAAUCGUACAAAUAAAGUUGCAAAUCACGGUUUAGUUUUCAUGUUGCGCGGAUUAAAUUCGGGCUGGAAGAUGCCUUUAUCUUACAAUUUUUGUAAUAAACAAACCAAUACUGCCCAAUUAAUACGUUGCAUUAAAGAACAUAUCAAUAAAGUUAACAAUGCAGGCUUUCACAUUGUUGCAACAGUUUGCGAUCAAGGGUCAUCGAAUGUUGCUGCAAUUAAAGAAUUAUUAUCACGUAUAAAUAUGAAGAGAGAUGUCGAACAAAGAGCUCAAGGUCAAACCUUUGAAGUGGGAAAUGUCGAAGUCAUCUCACUAUUUGAUUUUCCACACCUUAUCAAAGGAAUAAGGAAUAAUUUGUUAACAAAACAUCUUGCUCUUAAUUGGAAAAAUCCCAAAGUGCCUCCUAAAGAAAUAGCGUCGUGGGAUAUUAUUAAGACAGCGUGGAGGAUGAACAGAAAAAUGAAUGUGAUUCGGCCAUAAUUAAAGAAAAUAACGAAAAAACACAUAAUCGAAAAUCAAAUAAACAAGAUGCGAGUGAAACAUGCAACACAAGUGUUAAGUGGAACCAUGGCUAGUUACAUUGAAACACUGGCAAGAUCUAAUUGUGUGGUAACAAUCAACAAUGAAGAAAUACAAAUAAAUGCCGAAGAAGGAAUUCCAACAGCGGAGGCUGUGAACUUUUUCAACAAUUUAUUUGACUCCGUGAAUAGUGAUGUGAAAAAUAACGAUGACAAUUGUUAUAAGUGACACACUCGAUAACGAUAAAAAAGGUGUCAGUAGUACGAUGACGUAAGUCGGUCAGCUGCAGCAGUCAGCAUCGAGCGCAUCGCACGAAGUUUCGCGCAAUCCGCUCGACAAUUAGCGCAAUGCUCCUUAGACAGCACUUGCUGUCUAAGCAAUAAUUU